UACAGAGGUCUCAAGCGUUGUUCGGAUUCAUUGGGCGUAAAGGGUGCGUAGGUGGCGCCGUAAGUCAGGUGUGAAAUUUCGGAGCUUAACUCCGAAACUGCAUUUGAUACUGCGGUGCUUGAGGACUGGAGAGGAGACUGGAAUUUAACGGUGUAGCAGUGAAAUGCGUAGAGAUCGUAAGGGAAGACCAGUGGCGAAGGCGGGUCUCUGG
rnacentral:rRNA from 1 species